rnacentral:rRNA from 1 species
UACAGAGGGUGCGAGCGUUAAUCGGAAUUACUGGGCGUAAAGCGUGCGCAGGCGGCUUUGCAAGACAGAUGUGAAAUCCCCGGGCUCAACCUGGGAACUGCAUUUGUGACUGCAAGGCUAGAGUACGGCAGAGGGGGAUGGAAUUCCGCGUGUAGCAGUGAAAUGCGUAGAUAUAGGAAGGAACACCAAUGGCGAAGGCAAUCCCCUGGGCCUGUACUGACGCUCAUGCACGAAAGCGUGGGGAGCAAACAGG